GGGGGAUUUAUAUGGGGGGGGGGGUCAAUAGAAUGGGGGGGGUCUCAAAGGGCCAUAUGGGAUCGGGUUUAUAGGGUUACGGGAUUGGGAUUAUGGCGUUAUGGGAUUAUGGGGUGGAUUAUGGGAUUAUGGGGUGGAUUAUAGGAUUAUAGGGUGGAUUAUGGGAUUAUGGGGUGGGAUUAUGGGAUUAUGGGGUAGGAUUAUGGGAUUAUGGGGUGGGAUAAUGGGAAUAUGGGGUGGGAUUAUGGGAUUAUGGGGUGGAUUAUGGGAUUAUGGGGGGGUUAUGGAUUAUGGGGUGGGAUUAUGGGAUUAUGGGGUUGGGGCAUUAUGGGAUUAUGGGGUGGGAUUAUGGGAAUAUGGGGUGGGAUUAUGGGGUGGGAUUAUGGGAUUACGGGGCGGCAUUAUAGGAUUAUGGGAUCACAGCUUUGGAACGCUGGGAUUAUGGGGUCGGGGUUGGGAUUAUGGGGCUGGGAUUGGGAUUAUGGGGCCGGGAUUGGGAUUAUGGGGUCGGGAUUGGGAUUAUGGGAUACAGGGGUGGGAUUGUGGUAUUAUGGGAUGGCAUUUCCUCUACGAGCUCCAGAUUUGAGUCCAUUUUUGUGGCCCUGAGGCGAUUUCUGCUGUGCCCGAAAGGGGGGGGAAACGAACCACGGUGGUCGGGGAUGAUGGGGGCCGGGAUUGGGAUUAUGGGGUCGGGAUUGGGAUUAUGGGAUUACAGGGUGGGAUUGUGGUAUUAUGGGAUGGCAAUUCGCCUAUAAACUCCGCAUUUGAUCCAAUUUUUGUGCCCUGAGGCCCAUUUCCGUGACCUGGGAUUGGGAUUAUGGGGUCGGCAUCGGGAUUAUGGGGUCAAAACUGGGAUUAUGGGAUUACAGGGUGGGAUUAUGGUAUUAUGGGAUGGCAUUUCCUCGACGAGCUCCAGAUUUGAGUCCAUUUUUGUGCCCUGAGGCCGAUUUCUGUGGCCCGAAACCGGGGGAAACGAACCACGGGUC
ensembl:lncRNA